rnacentral:lncRNA from 1 species
AUCGAUCAAGCCAAACAAGCCUUGAACUUUGAAUAUGAUAGAAGAAAUUACAAUAGACUUCUUAUUUUCCAGCCACAAAGAAUUAUAGACAGUACAAUGAAUAGCUGGAAAUAAACAAGAAAGCUCUCAAUAGGAUUCUUCUCUGUAUAGCAACGUGAAUUAGCUUCUUGUAUCCUUGUCCUGCUUAGCCGUGAGAUAAGACUAUAUAUAAAGAGAGACCCAAUGGCUAUAAAAUAAUUGUUAGCAAUAAAUCAGAUGAUUUAAAUCCCAUAGCAAGAAAUCAGAUGAUUUAAAUCCCAUAAUAUUAGCUACAAUAUGGACCAACGGUUAUGAACAAAAGAUAGAA